UACGAGGGGGGCAAGCGUUGUUCGGAAUUAUUGGGCGUAAAGGGUGCGUAGGCGGUUUGACAAGUCUUAUGUGAAAUCUAUGGGCUCAACCCAUAGUCUGCAUGGGAAACUGUCGGGCUUGAGUAUUGGAGAGGUGAGUGGAAUUUCCGGUGUAGCGGUGAAAUGCGUAGAUAUCGGAAGGAACACCUGUGGCGAAAGCGGCUCACUGGACAAUAACUGACGCUGAUGCACGAAAGCUAGGGGAGCAAACAGG
rnacentral:rRNA from 1 species